UUUUUUUUUUUUUUUUUUUUUUGCCAUUUGUGAUAUUUUUUCAUUCAUGUGUUUAACAUUUUGGAUUUCCACAUUCAUAAAUAGCAGCAAAUCUAAACAAACAUGGAAAAAAGCAAGUCUGAAGCUCUGGCUUUUAUGACCAUGCAAAGAGAAAUUCACAUUCAAAAUCAACAUUUAAAUAAUGGCACAGAUGCAUACAAGCAGGGAAAUAGAUAGUUACAAUGGAAAUGUGCCACAUGCCUCAGAACACAUAACCACAACAGGGUGUCUCUUUUAUGACUUCCUUAAUGCACUGCAAUAUGUCUAGAUAUCAAAGGACAUAUGGUAUAUUUUCCCUUUAAUUGCACAUUUCUUUGCUCUUGUGAGUUACUCACAACCUUAACAUUAUUUAAUUGUAAUUUAGAUGCAUAAAUCUCAGUCAUCAUCAAGAGUUUCAAAUGCAAAUAUGUUUCAAUGAAAUCUUACUUCCACCUCUAUUCCAACUUUUGUCAGUGUAGUCUUUCUUUUUUGUCGGUGUGCAUUUGAGUAAGUAACAAUUUUUGGAAAGAGAAGUAUUCAGACAGAGAAGGAUCAGUCCUUUUCCGAAAGACUUUUUCCUAUGUUUCAAACUCAUAUUUCUUAGUAACAACUUGUUGUCUGCCACUUGUAUUAUCUGAAUUUCCACAGAGUCAUGGACAUUUCCAUCCACAAGAAGGAAAACAGAGAAUGCUGAUUCAUUAACAUUCUCAAAUGUACAUUUUAAAUUUAAAAAAUUUAAAUGUAGUAUUUAUGUAGCUAUAUAUGUAAGAAAGGGACAGCAAAAAAUUUUAUGGUAGCACCACUUGCUUAAAAACUUUAAUGACUGCAGGUCUUGGUAUGAAAGUUAAGAAUUCUUCCUAUGAGCCAGGUGUUUCUUAGACAAAUCUUUUUUGGUGAGAGCACCUAAUUUUCUGUACUCACUCCAACUGACAGCAACACACCCAUUUUCUUUGCUAUAGUAAGGAUGGAUGAUCGCUCAGGAUCUACUGCUAACAGAUAGGAUAGUGGUGAAUUUAAGCCUAUUUUUCAGAGUAGACUACUUUUUCAUCUUGAAAUUUAAAAAAUAAAGGAGGUGUUUAUCUAGGCUUUUUGUAACAUCAACAAUACCAUCAGGUAACAGAGCAGAUCCUAAAGAAGAAGGGUCUUUCAGUAGAUGAAAAAGGAAGAUGGCAAAAGGAAAAAAAUGCAAUUUUUGGUUUAGUAUUUCUUUACCAACUGAACUUGGUGAUCUCAUAACUAUUUUGGGAUUUUCUACAUGCCCAGUCUCUGUGUUAAUUCAUCUUGUGGCAACAUGAAGCUUGCACUUUAAGGUCUGCCUGUGUAAAUGGUUGAUGCUCAAGUUCUGUUUAUUUAAAACCCAGCAACUUGUUAUCAAAAUACACAACAAUAUCUGGUUUUUAGGAUAAAUGGUGCUUUUGGCUUCCUAAAAGGGAUAAUGCUAACAGAAUAAAUUUGUCUUGAAUUUAUUCUGCCAGUUUCUUACCUGAUUCCCCCCCCACACACACACAGAAUUUGGUAAUUUCUAUUCUGUAUUGGCUAUUGUAUGGAAUAGUAAUAAAAAGUAGCACCUGAAAUGCAAGCCUAUAUGUUCCAGUAUAAAAUGAAGUUCUCAAACAGCACUGCACACUACAAGGAUAUUGGUGGCUCUGCCAUAUUCCAGAGGGGCAAUAACAAACCCCCAAAAAAUCAUUGGGAUGCUAAACUUUUAUUCUACUACUUGUCAUUUUAGUCUGCAAAUAUAAAUAUUUAGAAUAAAGAAGCUCACAGCAGGUUCAGCGGUUUGCACUAAUGGGAGUAAGUGCAAUAUCUGCAGUUAGAAAAUCUUUCCAUGUCCUGAUUUUAUUCUUCAAAAGGGAAUCUCCAGCUACUAGGAACAUAUGCUAUAAAUAAAAAAUAGCAGAACAUCUAAUCUAAGCCUCCUUAGAGCUGCAAAUUCCUCAAGUAUUCUUAGAGGUUAAUAUUUUAUUCCAUGGCACAGAAGCAAAGUGCUACAGUUCACUAACUUCUUCAGUUCCUGAAAGCUGAAAGCAACGUUCAAAAGACAAACAUGAGAAGACACUGCCAAGACAUACUGAAGAAAAGGCAGCAGUGAUCUUGAAGAUCACUGAAACUUCAUAUCUGGUAAAAGGCAACACAUUUGCAGUGGAAAGUUAUAGUGUUCUUCUGGGGACUCUUACUUCUGCAUCAUCUGCAUCAUCUCCAGCAUCUGCCUUCUGAAGUACAGAGGAGAUGGCUGAACAAUUAGAGGGCAGGACUUCCACCUUGUCACAAUUCCAAUCAACUCCUGAGGGGAAAGAGAAAGUGCAGGUUAUGUUGAGUGUAAUUUCCUUUCAGAGACUCUGAUCCCAUGAGGUAAAGAAGACUCCCCUAAUUCUGCUGGCAAUGCUCUUUCCAGUGCUGUCCAAGAUGCUCUUGCCCUCUGUGGCAAGGGCACGUUGUUGGCUUACAACCACCUUGUCCACCAGGACUCCCAGGUACUUCCUGCAGUCAUCUCUCAGCAUGAGCUGGUUCAUGGGGUUGGUUCUCCCCAGGUGCAGGACUUUGCUCUACCCUUUGUUGAACUUCGUAUGGUUCAUGUUUGACUGUUUCUUCAAUCCACUGAGGUUAUCCAAGAUCAAUGUGUAUCAACAACUCUCACUCCUGGAAUAUCUGUGAACUUGUUGAGGAUCCAAUUCCCUGCUGUAAUUCAGGUCAGUAAUGAAGAAGUUGAGCAUCAUUGGCCCCAGCAGUGACUCCUGAGAUGCAUCACUGUUGACUGACCCCAGCUGGACUCCGUGCUGCUGAUCCCAACUCCGUGAGACUAACGGUUCAACAAAUGUUCAGUACACCUCACUGUACAUUUCUUUAGUCUGUGCUCCAUCGGCUUGCCUAUGAGACUGUUAAUUCCUCAUAGUACUUGGUCAGCAUCAACUUGGAAGGUUCAUUAGAGAUGGUAAAUUUUAAGCCAUGAAUGAAGAGAAAGGAAACAAAAAAAACUUGCUCUCUGGAGAAAGGAAACAAAAAAAACUUGAAUUCAUCAGAAAUUAUGACAAAGACAGCCAAGUGGAAGAGAGAAUGAUAAAAUCUGGAGCAAGACACUUGGAUAGCAGAAGUUGCUCUUUACUAAUUCCAAUGGCAACAGGCAGACUGAAAGGGACAGGAAAUGCUAACGUACAGAUAAAAUUCAUCAAAACAGAUGAGGAGGAUAUUGGAAAUAUUUCUGGAGACUUGGAACUCAACUUUGGGCUUAAAUCUCUGCUGCUGUCCUUCUCCCCUGCCCGAGCUGCUGCCUCUUGACAAGUCCAUCUCUUAAAAGAGACCCCUCUUCCAAACAUAAAUAAGCCAGCGCUUUAGAACAUUUGCCACCACAAGGAAUAUUUUUCUUCAGAUGAGAACUGAAUGAAGGCAAAACUGCAUGGAAGCUCAGCAGACAGUUAGCAGAACUACCUAGAGCAUGCAUAUCAUCCCCCUGUACAGUUCCAUGGCACCCCUAAAACAACUGGUCAUUGCCACCUGGCACCUCAAGGCAAAGGUCUUACCCCAGGCUGUGCUCUCCCACUGUCACUUCUGUGCUAGCCUUGCUGCCUGGCUGGGGUGUGGUAAACCAGGCUGCAAGCCCUGCAGGGCAGAGAGAUGAGCCAGGAAAACCAGAGGAGGCUUCUUGCAGUGUCUCACCCAGGCCAGGUGAGAUACACAGACUUGGAAGAAGAGGCAAUUCAAAGAGCAAAGCCACAGCACUGACUUAGAUCAGUCUAAAUAUUAGUGUGUGCUACUGGGUGGUGGCAUUUCUUCCUCCUGCCUCUGCUCUGUCCUACUCUGUCCUAAGCAUUGUCAUCUUCUCCCUGGUACCCUUUCUGAUGCUGCUUUGGAGCCCUUGUCAGUUGACUCAGCUCACCAACCUCCCAGAAAAAAAAAAAAAAAAACAAAAAACGAAAAAACCCUUCAUUUUCUUGUUGCAUUGUUUCAGUGGGCAGCCAUAUGUAUUCCAUACCUGUGAGAGAAAGGAAGUGUGAAGGAAGUAGUUGCGGGAGGAGAUGUAACAUUCCUUUUUUGGGGGUCAGACCAUUGUGAUUAUGCAGACCUGACUGCUGGUGCCACAAUAGUGAUUGAAAGCACCAUAGUCUGACUCUUGAGGGUCCAGCCACAGCAGAAUACAUCACACACUGUGUUGUAACUUUAGUAGAUAAGGUUUGACACUUUUGGGUUUCUGCUUAAAAGUGUCAGAUAAUGGUGAGUAUCAUGAAGAGGUAUGGAAGCUGGCUGAGGAAAUCCUCUGGCUAAAGGAAUAGUCACACCUGACAGCACCUGGUGUUGUCCAUACUUAGUACUCAGUCCAUCAAGUAUUUACCACUGUAAUCCAGUGGAGUAAUUUCAUUGCUGAGUUUGUGCUUAGUAGAUUCUGAAAGCUCUUACAGUGCCUGAGCUGAUGGGGUGCCUCUUCACUAGUGAACAAAACUGCUGAAGACCAAGUUUUGUCCUUGAGCCCGUUUUCAAACCAGAAUCUCCUUGCCUCCAGAAUGGAUCAGCCUUGGCUGCAGGUUCCCAAUGUGUGCCAGAGACCAUUGCAGAAAUAGAGAUGAGCAUGCUCCAGUGCCUGAUGACCUUUCUGUUCUGGUAUAGGUAUAGCUAAGGCAGCUGCAAGUUGCUGCGCUGGAUUUGUCUCCCCAGUGCACAGUGGGUGUCCACCUUCACUGAUCAGUUUUAAUUAGUUCUUUUUGGUAAGGCUUAGUAGGAGAAGAGGAGGGAGGAAAAUAGUGCAUCAGCACAUUUUGUAAUUGCUUCCAUUCUUUGGUUAUGAAUAAAUCGGAACAAUUUUUCUGUAGAAUUAAAACUCCUCCAGACCUUUAAGACUAUGUGCCUUGGUGAAGGCAAAAUCAAGGGCCUUUGGCUUUGAGGCAAAGGACUGAAGGACAUAAGUAUCCUUAAAAGGCUUACAUUAAUUUUAUAUAUGUUCUGUGUAUUUAAUGAAUUUCUCUGCUUUUGUCCACCAAUGAAAUAAAAAAUAUCAAGGUUGAAUUGUGCUAA
rnacentral:lncRNA from 1 species